AUGGACAAGUUUCUUCUCAAAAGAAAAGCAUCAUCACAGGAUGUUCCGGAAGACAUAAAUUGGGAAGAGGAGAUUCAAUAUGAUCCGGGCAAGAGAAAAUUGAUAGAGCAUUAUCAUCCUAAUUUAAAAGAUCUGGUAAGAAGGAAGUAUUUGUUGAAUGGACCUUGUCAGCCAAGAGAUAUUGAUUUUGAAUCCUCAGAUUUUGGGGGUAAACAGAGAAAGUUCAAUCCCGAAUGGUUUAAUGAAUUUGAGAGCUGUGAUCGUAGUUAGAAGAAAGAAGCUGGAUAUGAGGCAUUCGUCGUGAAUGGUUGGAAGAGCUGGAACAUGAGAUCAAGGUUAAAAGAACAUGUUGGUGAGGUGGGCAGUGUCCAUAAUCAAGCAAUAAAAAAAUUACUUGAUUUUCAGAAAAAAGAU
rnacentral:rRNA from 1 species